ACUUCGGAGCCUGGAGCACAGGGCGAGCUCUCCUCCGCCCUGCAGCCUCAGUGUACUGUGGGCUUCGGAGAUCACGCCACUGCUGCCGCCCGCUGCCCGCCACCAUCUUCCUCGGCGCUCGGGGACCUCGUGUGACAGGUGAGCACCUUACGGCCCCUCCCUACCCUGCCCAGAUGCCUGAAAGGCCUCCAUGGCUUUCCUGCCCUUCCUGGUUCCGGACAGCUGGGGAAAGGCCACAGCAGCUCCUCUGCUGCCCUGCAGUCUUUGGGGGCGGGGAGGGCUGGACAUGUGGAACCCUGAUGCAGCCGCAGCGUCAAGGACGAGGAAGGGGUGGGAAGGGAUGGUACGUGGAGGGGAAUGGGUGGUGGGACCAGGG
rnacentral:lncRNA from 1 species